GUUGUAUAGUCAAGUAAUUAAGUGCAUGUGGUGGAUGCCUUGGCAGUCAGAGGCGAUGAAAGACGUGAUAGCCUGCGAAAAGCUCCGGGAGGCGGCAAAUAUCCUUUGAUCCGGAGAUGUCUGAAUGGGGAACCCACCUACUUUAAGGUAGGUAUUGCAACAUGAAUACAUAGUGUUGCAAGGCGAACGAGGGGAAGUGAAACAUCUCAGUACCCUUAGGAAAAGAAAUCAAUUGAGAUUCCCUCAGUAGCGGCGAGCGAACGGGGAUCAGCCCAUUAAGUUAUGUGUGUUUUAGUGGAACGCUCUGGAAGUGCGAACGUAGAGGGUGAUAUUCCCGUACACGAAAGGGCACACAUAAUGAUGACGAGUAGGGCGAGGCACGUGAAACCUUGUCUGAAUAUGGGGGACCAUCCUCCAAGGCUAAAUACUCCUGACUGACCGAUAGUGAACCAGUACCGUGAGGGAAAGGCGAAAAGAACCCCUGUGAGGGGAGUGAAAUAGAUCCUGAAACCGCAUGCAUACAAGCAGUGGGAGCACCUUCGUGGUGUGACUGCGUACCUUUUGUAUAAUGGGUCAGCGACUUAUAUUCAGUAGCGAGGUUAACCGUAUAGGGGAGCCGUAGAGAAAUCGAGUCUUAAUAGGGCGUUUAGUUGCUGGGUAUAGACCCGAAACCAGGCGAUCUAUCCAUGAGCAGGUUGAAGGUUGGGUAACACUAACUGGAGGACCGAACCCACUGUCGUUGAAAAGCCAGGGAUGACUUGUGGAUAGGGGUGAAAGGCUAAUCAAGCCUGGUGAUAGCUGGUUCUCCCCGAAAGCUAUUUAGGUAGCGCCUCGGACGAAUACCAUAGGGGGUAGAGCACUGUUUCGGCUAGGGGGUCAUCCCGACUUACCAAACCGAUGCAAACUCCGAAUACCUAUGAGUACUAUCCGGGAGACAGACUGCGGGUGCUAACGUCCGUAGUCAAGAGGAAAACAAUCCAGACCGCCAGCUAAGGCCCCAAAAUCAUAGUUAAGUGGGAAACGAUGUGGGAAGGCAUAGACAGCUAGGAGGUUGGCUUAGAAGCAGCCACCCUUUAAAGAAAGCGUAAUAGCUCACUAGUCGAGUCGGCCUGCGCGGAAGAUGUAACGGGGCUAAAACUAUGUGCCGAAGCUGCGGAUGUAUACUUUGUAUACGUGGUAGGGGAGCGUUCUGUAAGCCGAUGAAGGUGUGUUGAGAAGCAUGCUGGAGGUAUCAGAAGUGCGAAUGCUGACGUGAGUAACGACAAAACGGGUGAAAAACCCGUUCGCCGAAAGACCAAGGGUUCCAGUCCAACGUUAAUCGGGGCUGGGUGAGUCGACCCCUAAGGCGAGGCCGAAAGGCGUAGUCGAUGGGAAAAUGGUUAAUAUUCCAUUACUUCUGUGUAAUGCGAUGAGAGGACGGAGAAGGCUAAAUCAGCCUGGCGUUGGUUGUCCAGGUGAAAGGAUGUAGGCAUGUAUCUUAGGCAAAUCCGGGGUACUCUAUGCUGAGAUCUGAUAGCAAGCUGUACUUGUACAGCGAAGUGGUUGAUGCCAUGCUUCCAGGAAAAGUCUCUAAGCUUCAGUUACACAGGAAUCGUACCCGAAACCGACACAGGUGGUCAGGUCGAGUAGACCAAGGCGCUUGAGAGAACUCUGCUGAAGGAACUAGGCAAAAUGGUACCGUAACUUCGGGAGAAGGUACGCUGUUGUUGGUGAUGGAACUCGCUUCCUGAGCUGACGACAGCCGCAGAAACCAGGCCGCUGCAACUGUUUAUUAAAAACAUAGCACUCUGCAAACACGAAAGUGGACGUAUAGGGUGUGAUGCCUGCCCGGUGCUGGAAGGUUAAUUGAUGGGGUUAGCGUAAGCGAAGCUCUUGAUCGAAGCCCCAGUAAACGGCGGCCGUAACUAUAACGGUCCUAAGGUAGCGAAAUUCCUUGUCGGGUAAGUUCCGACCUGCACGAAUGGCAUAAUGAUGGCGGCGCUGUCUCCAGCAGAGGCUCAGUGAAAUCGAAAUCGCUGUGAAGAUGCAGUGUACCCGCGGCUAGACGGAAAGACCCCGUGAACCUUUACUGCAGCUUGACACUGAACUUUGACCUUACUUGUGUAGGAUAGGUGGGAGGCUUUGAAGCUGGAACGCUAGUUCCAGUGGAGCCGUCCUUGAAAUACCACCCUGGUAAUGUUGAGGUUCUAACUCUGUCCCGUGAUCCGGGACGAGGACCGUGUCUGGUGGGUAGUUUGACUGGGGCGGUCUCCUCCUAAAGAGUAACGGAGGAGUACGAAGGUGCGCUCAGCGUGGUCGGAAAUCACGCGUAGAGUAUAAAGGCAAAAGCGCGCUUAACUGCGAGACCCACAAGUCGAGCAGGUACGAAAGUAGGUCUUAGUGAUCCGGUGGUUCUGUAUGGAAGGGCCAUCGCUCAACGGAUAAAAGGUACUCUGGGGAUAACAGGCUGAUACCGCCCAAGAGUUCAUAUCGACGGCGGUGUUUGGCACCUCGAUGUCGGCUCAUCUCAUCCUGGGGCUGAAGCAGGUCCCAAGGGUAUGGCUGUUCGCCAUUUAAAGAGGUACGCGAGCUGGGUUUAGAACGUCGUGAGACAGUUCGGUCCCUAUCUACCGUGGGCGCUGGAAAUUUGAGAGGAUCUGCUCCUAGUACGAGAGGACCAGAGUGGACGAACCUCUGGUGUACCGGUUGUGACGCCAGUCGCAUCGCCGGGUAGCUAUGUUCGGAAGGGAUAACCGCUGAAAGCAUCUAAGCGGGAAGCCUACCUCAAGAUAAGAUUUCCCUAGGACUUUAUGUCCUCUAAAGAGCCGUUCGAGACUAGGACGUUGAUAGGUUGGAUGUGGAAGCAUAGUGAUAUGUGAAGCUGACCAAUACUAAUUGCUCGUGAGGCUUGACUAUACAACACCCAAGCAGUUG
rnacentral:rRNA from 1 species